GUCUACGGCCAUACCAUGCUGAACGCACCCAAUCUCAUCUGAUCUCGGAAGCUAAGCAGGGUCAGGCCUUGUUAGGACUUGGAUGGGAGAACAGUUAUCUAGCCAUACCAAAUCAUGGUGCAGUCUAGAUA
rnacentral:rRNA from 1 species